GACAGGCAAAUCCUCUACCACAUAGCUGUAUCCUGGUCCCAAAGGGUGAUGUCCCACUGGGCAUGGAGGGAAUUAAGUAGAGGAUAGAAAAGAUUCUUCCUACAGACUCAGAAUGGAAAUCAAGGUUUCAAGGGCCCUCAUGCCCUUAGACUCUCAGUGAAACUCUUUCUUAAAAAGUUAAGAUUACUAGUGACCCAGCAAUGCAAAUGAGACAUUUAAAAGAACUGAAAGGUUAGGUUCACAAAACAGAUUAUAGUUACGUGUUUAUAGGUACUUUAUUCUUAUAUACUAUAAAUGGGAACACUCAAGAAUCCCUUAAUGGAGGAAUGGUUGAACAGCUCCAUCCAUAUAUCCAUAACAUGGAAUGCUGCUGGGCAGUAAAAAGAAUGAACUACGGAUACAUGCAACAACAUGGGUGACUCUCCAAUACAUUCAGUAAAAAACACCAGAUUGAAAUGGCUCCACAGGAUGAGAUUCUGGGAAUGGUGAAGCCAUGGCAACAGAAAACAAAGCAGGGUAUGCAGGGGUUAGGGCUUCCCGUUUGGGCAUGGAGAGCUGUGGGUGCUGAGGCAGGUUGUAUGCUUGAUUGUGGCGACUGCACACCAUGUGACUCUGAAACCCACAGAGCUGUAUGCUAAAGAGUGAAUCUUAUUGUAUGUAAACUGUACUCAAGAAGGUUGGCCUUUGGGGUUGGGGUGUAGCUCAGUGGUAGGUCACUUGCCUAUAUGCACAAGGCCCUGGGCUCUAUCCCUAGCACUUCAAAACACGCAAACAAACAAAGAAAAACAAAAAUAACAACAAGCCUGGUUGUUUCUUGGUGUGUCUUAACUGCAGUUAUUUCCUCUCCUAUUUUCUUCGAGCAUUGUGAGGAUUUUCUUUCCUUUUUGCAGCUCUUGAGAAUGGGGCUUCAUGGCAGCUUGGCCUCAUUGGCCCCGAGGCCUCUGCUCAAUUGCAGAUCUCAGAACUGAAAACACAUCAAUCUUCACUCUACAAAUGCCCAAACUGGGCUCCAAGGGAGGAAGGACACCCUGCCUGCAGGCUGGUAAGGGAAGGCUCACCCUGCCCAGCGGUACUGGAACUGGGUAUUCCCAAUAACAAGCUGAGCUCAGGCAGGAGGGAGACACAAGGUAGUGACACCUUGGGGCUGGAGCCAGUGGCUCACUAUUGGUGCUCCCCCUCCUCUCAGUGUCUGAAGGUAGUGCGACAGGGGUCACCCUGAGCACAACAAUAACCUCUAUACAACAGUAUUUUCCAGAUUGAAUUCUCUCAUGUUUACUUUCAAAUUUAAUGACUUUAAUAGUCAUCCAACCUGUUUAUUUUGAUUUGCUGGUAAUAUGUAAACCCUCUUAUUUAACUUUCAUUUUGCUAGCCUAUCCAACGUAAAAUGAACAAUUGCUAAACUGUUUCCUAAUUUUAUAACUUAAAAAUGUCUUUCUUGGAAAAUCUUUUUGAUAUGAAUAAAAUAUCUUUCAGAGCCAUCAUUUAGAGGGGGCUUCUCUCCAACAUGAGCUACCUGAUGUUGAGUAAGGUCUGAACCCUCGCUGACAGCCUUUCCACAUUCUUGACAUUUAUAUGGUUUCUCCCCAGCGUGGCGGCUUCUCUGGUACUCAACGGGUUGUGGGGUAGGGCUGAAAGUCUUCCCACAUUCACUGCACCCCAGGGAUUUCUCACCAGUGUGGAUUGUCCAGUGCAGAAUGAGGUCUGCACCAUGGCUGAAGGCUCUGCCACGUCGCUCUCCAGUGGGCAUCAGGCUGGGGCCACCCUUUCUACGCUGGCGAGGAUUAUCUCCCGUGUGAAUGUGCUGAUGCUGUGUGAGGGUUGACCUCCGGCUAAAGGCCUUCCCACAGGCCCGGCACUCGUAGGGCUUCUCGCCAGUGUGGACACGCUGGUGCAGGGUGAGUUGGGAGCUCUGGCUGAAGGCUUUCCCACACUCAGAGCACUGAUAUGGCUUCUCCCCUGUGUGCACUCUGCGAUGCUGCACCAGAGUGGAACUCCGGCUGAAGGCCCUGCCACACUCACCACACACAUAAGGCUUCUCUCCAGUGUGAAUCCGUGUAUGUUCAGUAAGGUGAGAAUUGAAACCAAAGGCCCGGCCACACUCCUGGCACACGUAGGGCUUUUCUCCAGUGUGGACCCUAUGAUGGAGGAAAAGGCUGGAGCUCUGGCUGAAGGCCUUGCCACACUGACUGCACUUGUGGGGCUUCUCCCCAGUGUGGAUCCUCUGGUGCUGAAUGAGGCUGGAGCUCCGGCUGAAGGCCUUGCCACACUGACUGCACUUGUGCGGCUUCUCCCCAGUGUGGAUCCUCUGGUGCUGAGUUAACUGGGGGCUCUGGCUGAAGGCUUUGCCGCACUCCUCACACUUGUGAGGCUUCUCUCCUGUGUGAAUGACGCGAUGCUGAAUGAGGCUGGAGCUUCGACUGAAGGCUUUCCCACAUUCACUGCACCCAAAGGGUCUUUCUCCAGUGUGAAUUCUCCGAUGCAGAAUGAGGUAGGAAUUGAGCCCAAAAGUCUUCCCACAUUCUUCACAUUUAAACGGUUUGCUGCCAGUGUGGACUCGGCGGUGCAGGAUGAGGCUCGCGCUGUGUGUGAAGGCUCGCCCACACCAACUGCACUCAUAGGGCUUUUCCCCUGUGUGGCGCCUAUGAUGUCGACGGAGGUCUGAAUUAUAUUUGAAGGUUUUGCUGCAUAUAUCACAUUUAAAGACUCUCUCUCCUGUUUUAUUCCUUUGAAGUCUAACAACAUUUUGGUUUGGAUUUAAAUGUCUAUCAACAUUUAAAGAACACUCCUGGACACUCUCUCUUGGAGGCUGCUCCCUACAUAGGACAGAUUCCUCUCUAAAAACUCUAUUGUGCAGAUGGGGUUUCUUCAGACUCUGGCCAGCAGUGUUUCCCAGGCUCCCUUUUCCCUUCCCCUCCAGGUCCCAAGGAUCCUGGAACACAGGUGUCUGUGAAUUGGCCCUUGAGAAUCUUCUUGAUACAAAUGCUGGGCUCUUCACAUCUUCAGAACACUCCUGGUUUAAAAUGGACAGUUCCUUCUCAGUCCCAGUAUCAGAAUCUGUUACACAAAACAUAAAGGAAUUACUAGAGGACACCACUGUUCAGCAACACUCUUACACAGAUCCUUACUUGGAAGGCAGAUGUUCCAGUAGCAGAUGUGCUAUGCAUGACUCAGGAGCGCAAGAGGCAAAAUGGCCAGUCACAGGAUGAAAGCUCAGUCCACCAGGUACCACAGGAGGGAAACUCAAGCAAAUUAUGAUUUUUUCACCUAUCAAACUAGCAAAUGAAUCUGCCAACAGGCUGCUCCAGGUAAGGAACACAAUAGGAAGCCAGAGAGCCUCUGGUCUCAGGAAGCUCACUGUAUAUUGAGGAAGAAAAUCAAAUACUUUUUUUUUUUUUUUUAAAUGAAAUAACACAGAGGCUGGGAUUGUGGCUCAGCGGUAGAACGCUCGCCUAGCACUUGCGAGGCCCUGGGUGCGGUCCUCAGCACCACAUAAAAAUAAAUAAAAUAAAGGCAUUUUGUUCAACUACACCUAAAAAAAAUAAUAUUAAAAAAAUGAAAUAACAUGGAUAAUGGAAACUAUUGAAAAUACAGAACCAUCUCCUGCAGCCUAUGUGGUCAGAAGAUCCCAGGAGCAUGCGUGGCUUCAGAGGGAGCAAGAGCCAAUGGGUCAGCAGUUGCAGAAGGCAGGCCUGGGUGAGAUGGAGAACCACCAAGUCCAGGAAUGCAAGGAGCCUGCCACGGCUAGAGCAAGAAGGCGGGUGGAGGUUGCUGUGCUGCGUUGAUUCCCACACAGAGAAGUAAAGGAAUAAUUCCUGUCCUGUACUGUGGGAUGGACUAUAAAUAAAUAGAGCUUUUUAAAGGGAAAGUUGGUAACACAUAGCAAAAGAAUUAAUAUUACACACCUUUGUUCCCAAAAUUGUUCUUCAAGAGUCUAUGCUAAGUCAACUGUCAUUUGCACAAAGAAAUGAUUAUUAUGACCAUCCCUGAAAUGUUCUCCCUAAUUAUGGGGAAACAAGAAAGAAUUCAAAUAUUCAAAAAACAGAGGACAGGGCUGGGUGUGGCACAGUGAUAGAGCACUUGCCUGGCAUGCAGGAGGCCCUAGGUUUAUCUCCAGCACUGCAAAAAAAAAGAAAGAAAAAAAAAGAGUAUUGUUUAAGUCAGCGAUAGACGAGUCAUAUAAUGGAAUACCUUUCUGACAUUAUAAUUAUAUAAUAGAAUAUAUAGUUAAAGGAAAAGUCUAUGACAUAAACUGAAAAAUCAGUUUCUAAAAUAAUACACACAGCAUAAACCAACUUUAACUGAAAAUACAUAUGGAAGAUAAGUGCUAUUUCUUCCUUAAAUGUUUGGUAUAAGCUGGCGAAACCAUCUGGGCUUGGCAUUUUCUCUGAGAUAGGAAUUUUAUUUACUGAACCAAUUUCUUUAAUACUUAAAAGAUCAUGUAUUAAUGCUUUCUUGUGUCAACCUUGACAAAUUGUGUUUU
rnacentral:lncRNA from 1 species